ACGCGACCCCGUGAGGGCAAGCCAACCACAGAAAAGCCAUCUCAGUUCGGAUUGUAGUCUGCAACCCGGCUACAUGAAGCUGGAAUCGCUAGUAAUCGCAGAUCAGAAUGCUGCGGUGAAUACGUUCCCGGGUCUUGUACACACCGCCCGUCACACCAUGGGAGUUGGAAAUGCCCGAAGCCAGUGACCCAACCGUAAGGAGGGAGCUGUCGAAGGUGGAGCCGAUGACUGGGGUGAAGUCGUAACAAGGUACC
rnacentral:rRNA from 1 species